GGGGCCGUACUGGUUUUGACGGGGGAACGUCUGUCUUUGAUUGCAGCAAGGUGGCGACUUACCGCCAAAAACCAAUAACUGACAACACUGUCAAACCUUGGAUGCUCGGCAACAACGCCCGCGUCCUCGCUCGCGCCUAAUUGCACCUGAAAAACGGUUCCGCGCCAUUUUAGCGGACGAGCACCUCCCUCUUCGCGUUUCUCGCUUUGGCGAAAUUGGGGGCAACAAAAAGCGAUAAGCUCUCGAUUUGGCUGCUUCGAGGGACGAAAAACCCUAAGCCAAACCACGAAGUCUACUUGUUCCGGUCCAGCUUCGUGGUGAUUUGACCGGAACUAAGCUGUAGAGGUCAUUGAGGGAUGUCCUUCGGACCGGGGUUCGAUUCCCCGCGACUCCACCA
rnacentral:tmRNA from 1 species